rnacentral:rRNA from 1 species
UACGGAGGAUGCGAGCGUUAUCCGGAUUUAUUGGGUUUAAAGGGAGCGUAGACGGGUUUUUAAGUCAGCUGUGAAAGUUUGGGGCUCAACCUUAAAAUUGCAGUUGAAACUGGAGAUCUUGAGUACGGUUGAGGCAGGCGGAAUUCGUGGUGUAGCGGUGAAAUGCUUAGAUAUCACGAAGAACCCCGAUUGCGAAGGCAGCCUGCUAAGCCGCCACUGACGUUGAGGCUCGAAAGUGCGGGUAUCAAACAGG